CCAGUUGUUCUGAGUUUCCCAUCAUGCCUUGGGCCAUUAUCUUCCUCACACUUCUGACUUACUGCUCAGGUGUCCGCUCACAGCUCACUCUGACGCAGGUCCCCUCCCAAUCUGUGGCUCUGGGAGGUACCGUGAGAAUCACGAGCACGCUGAGUAGUGCACACCAGAGCUAUGGUGUUGGCUGGUAUCAGCAGAAAGAGGGGCAGCCCCCUCGGAUGGUGCUGGAUUACAGCAGCAACAGAGGCAGCGGGAUCCCAGACCGAUUCUCUGGCUCCAAAUCUGGUGGUGAGCGCUAUUUAACCAUCACGGGUGUCCAGCCAGAGGAUGAGGCCACCUACUACUGUGGCACCAGUGAUAGCAGUGGGUUAGCCACAGUGAUAAAAUCAGAAGGGGAACUGUGA